rnacentral:rRNA from 1 species
UGGGGAAUUUUGCGCAAUGGGGGAAACCCUGACGCAGCAACGCCGCGUGAGUGAUGAAGGCCUUCGGGUCGUAAAGCUCUGUCAGAGGGAAAGAAAUGCAGAUGCGCUAAUAUCGCGACUGCUUGACGGUACCCUCAAAGGAAGCACCGGCUAACUCCGUGCCAGCAGCCGCGGUAAUACGGAGGGUGCGAGCGUUAAUCGGAAUUACUGGGCGUAAAGCGUGCGCAGGCGGUUAUAUAAGACAGAUGUGAAAUCCCCGGGCUCAACCUGGGACCUGCAUUUGUGACUGUAUAGCUAGAGUACGGUAGAGGGGGAUGGAAUUCCGCGUGUAGCAGUGAAAUGCGUAGAUAUGCGGAGGAACACCGAUGGCGAAGGCAGCCUCCUGGGAUAAUACUGACGCUCAUGCACGAAAGCGUGGGGAGCAAACAGG